CGUGCCAGCAGCCGCGGUAAUACGUAGGGUGCGAGCGUUAAUCGGAAUUACUGGGCGUAAAGCGUGCGCAGGCGGUUAUGUAAGACAGAUGUGAAAUCCCCGGGCUCAACCUGGGAACUGCAUUUGUGACUGCAUGGCUAGAGUACGGUAGAGGGGGAUGGAAUUCCGCGUGUAGCAGUGAAAUGCGUAGAUAUGCGGAGGAACACCGAUGGCGAAGGCAAUCCCCUGGACCUGUACUGACGCUCAUGCACGAAAGCGUGGGGAGCAAACAGGAUUAGAUACCCUGGUAGUCCACGCCGUAAACGAUG
rnacentral:rRNA from 1 species